rnacentral:rRNA from 1 species
CCUACGGGAGGCAGCAGUGGGGAAUAUUGGACAAUGGGCGCAAGCCUGAUCCAGCCAUGCCGCGUGAGUGAUGAAGGCCUUAGGGUUGUAAAGCUCUUUUGCCAGGGAAGAUAAUGACUGUACCUGGAGAAUAAGCCCCGGCUAACUUCGUGCCAGCAGCCGCGGUAAUACGAAGGGGGCUAGCGUUGUUCGGAAUCACUGGGCGUAAAGCGCACGUAGGCGGACUUUUAAGUCAGGGGUGAAAGCCUGAGGCUCAACCUCAGAACUGCCCUUGAUACUGGGAGUCUUGAGUAUGGUAGAGGUUGGUGGAACAGCAAGUGUAGAGGUGAAAUUCGUAGAUAUUUGCUAGAACACCAGUGGCGAAGGCGGCCAACUGGACCAUAACUGACGCUGAGGUGCGAAAGCGUGGGGAGCAAACAGGAUUAGAUACCCUGGUAGUCCACGCCGUAAACGAUGGAUGCUAGCCGUUAGCCAGCUUGCUGGGUAGUGGCGCAGGUAACCCUUUAAGCAUCCCGCCUGGGGAGUACGGUCGCAAGAUUAAAACUCAAAAUGAAAUUGAACGGCGNGAGAGNGCGAGACGACACGAGGGAGAGG